rnacentral:lncRNA from 1 species
CUCGUGUUCCAUCCCUGGAGCUGGAGUCAUUUGGAAUAAACUUUCCCUGACUCACAAGGAUCCUCAGAAAUUAGGAGCUGUUGGGAGAAUGAGGAAUGACCUGGAUGCUGAAGAGGCACCCACAGAUAUCUAAGAGAGAGGGGGAAGAGGUCAUUUGGACACAGAGUCGUGGACAUAGAGAGGAGAGCAACCUGUGAUGAUGGGAGCAGAGAUUGCAGUGGUGCGCCUGCAACCAAGGAACACCACGGACUGCCCACAACUACCAGAAGCUUGGAAGAGGCAAGGGAGGAUUCUUCCCCAGAGUCUUCAGGUGGUGCACAGUCCUGCUGACACCUUGUUCUUGGACUUCCAGCCUCCAGAACUGUGAGAGAAUGAAUUUCUGUUGUUUUAAGCUGCCCAGUUUGUGGUCAUUUGUCAUGGCGGCCCUACGGAACUAGUACAGCCUGGACAAGCUCUAAGAUCUUCUUCCAGGCAGAGCAAGACCUAUAUCCUCUCCCGCCUUGACUCUGCAGAUAAACACAUGUCCUCAGCCAACCAGAUGGACUCAAGGUGACCUCACAAGUGCCUCCCUCUCCUGCUAAGGCCACCUGCCAGGGUCACUGUGUCACUCAGAUUCCCAACCUCAAAGAACCCCAACCUUUGGAGUCAACUCUCAUCAACCAGACACCAUAAUUUAAUUAGAAAAGGGGAGAUUUAAGAUAGAAAAACAAUACAGGACAUGGGUUUUCUGAGCAUGAAAUAGCUCCUGAACCCAAGAAAAAUUUCAUGUUCCAGUAGAAGGGCAUUGAUGACAAAGCCUGCUUCUGCCGUUUACUUGCUGGGGCUUUGGAUAAGACACUUGAGUGCUGUGAAUAUCAAGCUGGUCAUCUUUAAAAUGGGUCUAUCAUUCCUGCCUGGCCAAUUGCUUAGGGUUGUUUGGGGAACAAUUGAGAGAGACCGUGAGUGAACCAGGUUGAAAUGGAAAUUGCAUAUGAGUCUGAGGCAUUGAUUUUUAUUAGGGAGGCUACAAAACCCAGUUUUUAGUGAGAGAGGGAGAAAGUAUGAGAGGGAGAUGCUACUGGAAUUUAAUACUAGUGAGUUUCUCAGGCAGAGCUCAGGAUGAAGAAAUUUAUUUGCUCAAGGUCAACCAGCAAAAACUGGAAAAGACCUACAACUAGAAUUUGGGGUAUAAAAUUGUAUACUUGCUCCUGUUCUACCUUCUCACUGACCCCUUCCCUCCAACCUGCUCUAUGUAUUUUCUUUUUGAGACAGAGUCUUGCUCUGUCGCCCAGGCUGGAAUGAAGUGGCACAAUCUCGGCUCACUGCAACUGCUGCCUCCCAGGUUCAAGCGAGUCUCCUGCCUCAGCCUCCCAAGUAGCUGGGGUUACAGGCGUGUGCCACCACGCCCGGCUAAUUUUUUUUUUUUUUUUAGUAGAGUUGGGGUUUCACCAUGUUGGCCAGGCUGGUCUCAAACUCCUGGCCUCAAAUGAUCCACCCGCCUCGGCCUCCCAAUGUGCUGGGGUUACAGGCAUAAGUCACUGCGCCUGGCCCAUAUUUUAUUUUCUAAAUUGUUUUUUCUAAUUGAGGAAGCUUUUAUUCCUCCUUCUCCCCUCUCAAUUCCUGUCCCUCUCUCUGUCCUUCCUUUUCCCUCAUCCUCUUUCUCUUCCUCUCAAACCUCAUUUUUCCUUUGAAAAGUUUCAAGUAGAAUGAAUUCAGUGUUCUCAGCCGAGUUCCAGCAUAAAGAGCUCACUAUGCACUUCGACAGAAUUAUCUCCUUUGAAGAAUGCCCACUUUAAUCUCCUCUAAGACAGGUUUUUGUGGUGUUAGAACAAAAUGACAUAAUACUCUUCAAGCUAAAAGGCUUAUUAAGUAGCAUUCAGAAAAUCCUGCAACUUCCUCGUAAUUGGAGGCUUAAUUGGGUGGGUUUAAUAGCAUUUGGUUAUUAGGGCUAAUCAAAUAUUCCAGAAUAAUUGACUCAACUUUUUUUUUUGGGGGGGGCAAUUAUCAUCUCUAAUAUUGUUGUGAUUAAAAAGAUACAUCUUGGCUGAGUG